AACAACUUCAACAACACAACCAAAUCCUUCUUUGACAAUAAAACGAGUUUGGAGGGUGGGGGAAAGAACCAACCCAACCCUAUGGACUCACAUACUUAGUAGGGAUCACCCCCGACGAUUUCCACGACGAUCUUUGACGGAAACUCCUUGAUCUCCUCUUCUCCUUCUCUUCUUUCUCUCUUCUUCUCUUCUUCACUCAAGAACCCU
rnacentral:lncRNA from 1 species